GGUUACGAAGUUCGGGACGGUUUCGGAAAGGGCUUGGCCCGAUCCGGAUGAAACGGGAAUCCGGGAUGGGUGUGUUGGCCCUCUGCCGGAGCUGCCCCCGCAACUGUGAGCGGUGAGCGGCUGCACAAGAACCACUGGCGUCAAAGGCCGGGAAGGAGUGCAGCUGGCGCGGAUCCGCAAGCCAGGAGACCGGCCGUCGAUAAGAUCAACCU
rnacentral:ncRNA from 2 species